CCUACGGGAGGCAGCAGUGAGGAAUAUUGGUCAAUGGGCGGAAGCCUGAACCAGCCAAGUCGCGUGCAGGAUGAAGGUUCUAUGGGUCGUAAACCGCUUUUAUACGGGAAUAAAGUGCGUUACGUGUCGCGCUUUGUAUGUACCUUAUGAAUAAGGAUCGGCUAACUCCGUGCCAGCAGCCGCGGUAAUACGGAGGGUCCGGGCGUUAUCCGGAUUUAUGGGGUUUAAGGGGUGCGUGGGCGGCGUUUAAGUCAGCUGUGAAAGUCUGUGGCUCAACCAUAGAAUUGCCGGUGAAACUGGGAGGCUUGAGUAUGUGUGAGACAGGCGGAAUGCGUGGUGUAGCGGUGAAAUGCUUAGAUAUCACGAAGAACCCCGAUUGCGAAGGCAGCCUGCUAAGCCAUGACUGACGCUGAUGCACGAAAGCGUGGGGAUCAAACAGGAUUAGAUACCCGAGUAGUC
rnacentral:rRNA from 1 species